rnacentral:rRNA from 1 species
GACGAACCGUGCGACCGUUAUUCGGAAUCACUGGGCUUAAAGCGCGUGUAGGCGGGAGGGCACGUCCGUUGCUGAAAUCCCCCGGCUCAACCGGGGAACGGGCGCGGAUACGACUCUCCUCGAGGGGCGUAGGGGGACCUGGAACUUCCGGUGGAGCGGUGAAAUGCGUUGAGAUCGGAAGGAACGCCCGUGGCGAAAGCGAGGUCCUGGACGCCUACUGACGCUGAGACGCGAAAGCCAGGGGAGCGAACGGG